rnacentral:rRNA from 1 species
AAUGAACGCUGGCGGCAGGCCUAACACAUGCAAGUCGAACGGCAGCACAGUAAGAGCUUGCCCUUACGGGUGGCGAGUGGCGGACGGGUGAGGCAUACAUCGGAAUCUACUUUUUCGGGGGGGACAACGGAGGGAAACAUACGAUAAUACCGCAUACGGCCUACGGGAGGAAGCAAGAGAUCUUCGGACCCUGCGCGACUGAAUGAGACGAUGUCGCAUUAGCUAGUUGGCAGGGUAAAGGCCCACCAAGGCAACGAUGCGUAGCAGGUCUGAGAGGAUGAUCGGCCACACUGGAACUGAGACACGGUCCAGACUCCUACGGGAGGCAGCAGUGGGGAAUCUUCGGCAAUGGGCGCAAGCCUGAUGCAGCCAUACCGCGUGGGUGAAGAAGGCCUUCGGGUUGUAAAGCCCUUUUGUUGGGAAAGAAAAUCAGCAGGUUAAUACCCCGCUGUUCUGACGGUACCCAAAGAAUAAGCACCGGCUAACUUCGUG